AUUGAACGCUGGCGGCAGGCCUAACACAUGCAAGUCGAACGAGUGGCGGACGGGUGAGUAAUGUCUGGGAAACUGCCCGCUGGCGGGGGAUAACUACUGGAAACGGUAGCUAAUACCGCAUACCAUCUGAUGUGCCCAGAUGGGAUUGGCUAGUAGGUGGGGUAACGGCUCACCUAGGCGACGAUCCCUAGCUGGUCUGAGAGGAUGACCAGCCACAAGGGAACUGAGACACGGUCCAGACGCCUACGGGAGGCAGCAGUGGGGAAUAUUGCACAAUGGGCGCAAGCCGGAGGCAGCCAGGCCGGGUGUAGGAAGAAGGCCUUCGGGUUGUAAAGUACUUUCAGCGGGGAGGCGGUACUCGCAGAAGAAGCACCGGCUAACUCCGUGCCAGCAGCCGCGGUAAUUC
rnacentral:rRNA from 1 species